UACGGAGGGUGCAAGCAUUAAUCGGAUUUAUUGGGCGUAAAGGGCGCGUAGGCGGAAAGAAAAGUCAGGUGUGAAAUCCCGGGGCUCAACCCCGGAACAGCAUUUGAAACUCUCUUCCUUGAGGCUAGAUGGAGAAAACGGAAUUCCACAAGUAGCGGUGAAAUGCGUAGAUAUGUGGAAGAACACCGGUGGCGAAGGCGGUUUUCUAAUUUAGACCUGACGCUGAGGCGCGAAAGCAAGGGGAUCAAACAGG
rnacentral:rRNA from 1 species